GUUGUAGUCUGGAGAAGUGCUUUCCGCGUUGGACCGUGUAUAAGUCUCUUGGAAUAGAGCGUCAUAGAGGGUGAGAACCCCGUCUUUGACACGGACUACCAGUGCUUUGUGAUGCGCUCUCAAAGAGUCGAGUUGUUUGGGAAUGCAGCUCAAAAUGGGUGGUAAAUUCCAUCUAAAGCUAAAUAUUGGCGAGAGACCGAUAGCGAACAAGUACCGUGAGGGAAAGAUGAAAAGCACUUUGGAAAGAGAGUUAAACAGUACGUGAAAUUGCUGAAAGGGAAACACUUGAAGUCAGUCGUGUUGUUUGGAACUCAGCCUUGCUUUUGCUUGGUGCACUUUCUGAAUGACAGGCCAGCAUCAAUUUUGACCGUUGGAAAAAGGCAGGGGGAAUGUGGCACCUUCGGGUGUGUUAUAGCCUCUUGUCACAUACAACGGUUGGGAUUGAGGACCGCAGCACGCCGCAAGGCAGGGGGUUUCCCACUUUCGUGCUUAGGAUGCUGGCAUAAUGGCUUUAAAUGACCCGUCUUGAAACACGGACCAAGGAGUCUAACAUGCCUGCGAGUGUUUGGGUGGAAAACCCGAGCGCGUAAUGAAAGUGAAAGUUGAGACCUCUGUCGUGGAGGGCACCGACGCCCGGACCUGACGUUCUCUGACGGAUCCGCGGUAGAGCAUGUAUGUUGGGACCCGAAAGAUGGUGAACUAUGCCUGAAUAGGGUGAAGCCAGAGGAAACUCUGGUG
rnacentral:rRNA from 1 species